GAUUUCAACUGAAAAAGUCAUCAACAUGAAAGUUGUAUAACUCGUCAAUGUCUAUAACUUUUAUUUGGGUCAUUUCUUCAUCUGGUAAAAUAAUAGUAACAUUGUUCACAAAAUAUACAUAUCUCUCUUAUAGUUUAUAAACUAUAUAAGAUAUAUUUACAUUUUGUGAGCAAUGUUACAAAUCACUUUAUCGGAUGAAGAAAUGACACAAAUAAAAGUUAUAGAUCUUGAUGAGUUAUACAACUUUGAUGUUGAUGACUUUUUCAGUUGAAAUC
rnacentral:pre_miRNA from 1 species